UAAGCAUAUUAAUCAGCGGAGGAAAAGAAACUAACCAGGAUUCCC
rnacentral:rRNA from 1 species